GUGGGGGAGUUGGAAGCUCUCAUCACUGUCUAGGAGGACGCUCCCCAAGGCUGAUUCCACGUUCACUGAUUUUUUAUUACGCAGUCUAUGGGACGCAAAUCCUACAAGUAUGUGGUGAACCUCACAAAGAUUCCAAUCCUGAAAAAGAAUAUUGAUAUUGCUGGAUUUCAUCGAGGGUAAGGGAGAAAAUCGAUCCACCUGGAUCAAGAAGAAGCCGAAGCAUGUAUUUGCAGAGGUAGUUUGAGAGGUCCAAAGGAAUUCGAGCAGAAGGAAGGUUUCCUUGGAUCUAGGUUUGAAGAAGAUCCAGAUCGGAAAGGUGAGGGAUUUUUGUGAAUUGAUUACUGAAGGGGCAGAUGGGGAUGGUGAUUUCAUCUCAUUUGUUACUUUGGAAAAUUUGCAAAAGGGAGCUACGGCUUGCAGUAGCAGUAGCAGUUCUGUUCGAACUGAGGAGCUGGUAGUUUGGCAAGAUUUCGAAUUCCGUUUUGCUAUGGGGUUGAAUGAAAAUCCCUCUGUAGCUUUGUUCAGUGUCUCGGCGAAAACUUGGAUAUGUAAGGAUUACAGUUCCGAUGGUGGGGAUGAUCAGAAUUUGAUGCCGGGAUGGUUGUUCAACUCCACAUGAUGAUUCUGGGUUGGAUGUUUUCCCUCUGGAAGUAGAUCAGAAUUUGAUUAAGGAAUUUUUUUUUUUUUUUGGAUUAUUCUACGCGUUCGUUUUACGAUUUACGUGACUAAUCCUACACCCUUGAAGUUGAUUUCACAACUCCAAAGGAAGUGUAAAUUCAAGAAUCCAGUGACGAAAAUGAGCCCGAAAGGAUAUAAACACCUUACCUCGUAUGAAAGGCGCUUUUGGAGCCCGCAUUACAGCCUGAACCACACCCUGAGCGCUGGAUCAGACAAUCUCGGCGUAGGAAUCACCACAAGAGGAGUCUUCUUCUUCAAGACAAUGCCAAACUUCUCCGAAAGGUCCAACGUCUCCCCUUCAGGAAUUUUCCAGUCAAAGGAAUGCAGAAGCGAAGCAAGGGAAAACAUCACCAUCCGCUCAGCCAUUGCUAUCCCUGCACAAAUCCUUCGCCCAGACCCAAACGGGAUGUAACUGAAGCCGCCGCCAUCGUCAUCCCAUUUGCCACCAAAGAACCUCUCCGGGUUAAACUCCGACGGGUUUUCCCAAAUGCAAGAGUCUCUGUGUAUUGCCCAGGCGUUGACGAAGACUCGGGCGCCCUUGGGAAUGUGGUAUCCCCCGACGGUGCAUGACUGGCUUGGACAGUGAGGAACCAGCAGCGGAAGCACCGGGUGCAACCGCAGAAUCUCUUUCAUCACGGCCUGCAAAUACGGUAGCUUGUGAAUGUGGCAUUCGUCUACUGUGCUGUCUUUGCCCACGACUGCGUCCAAUUCUUCUUGUGCGUUUCGCAUCAAUUCUGGUUUGUUGAUUAGUUCCGCCAUGGCAAACUCCACUGUGCUGGAGCUUGUGUCAGUGCUACCCACCACCAUAUCCUUUCCACGUACGUUCAGACGUUCAAUGACACGUGUACAGCAUUAUGGAAAAUUUACCAUUCUUCAAUUCAUUGAACAUAGUAGGAAGAACUUUAAGAAAAAGUUAAUAAUUAUUGGAUUGACAUCAUCCUCAUCCUAAUUAAAAUAUAGUGUAGAUAAGAUCAAAUUUUAAGUUAAAUUUGUCUAACAAGUGAAUAGGCUUUCAAUGAUUUUAUUUGUAUUUAUUUAGUUUUACUUUUUUAAAGUCUAAUGUAAAGACAAGAGAAUAGUUGAAGCAGGUGGGUGCACUCUAUUUCCUAUAUAUAUACUUUUCUCCUGCCAUGUGUGCCAAUGAUGAUUACAACCUAUGCAUUAUAACC